UGGGGAAUAUUGCACAAUGGGGGAAACCCUGAUGCAGCGACGCCGCGUGAACGAAGAAGGUAUUCGUAGCGUAAAGUUCUGUCCUAUGGGAAGAUAAUGACAGUACUAUAGAAGAAAGCUCCGGCUAAAUACGUGCCAGCAGCCGCGGUAAUACGUAUGGAGCGAGCGUUGUCCGGAAUUAUUGGGCGUAAAGGGUACGCAGGCGGUUUAAUAAGUCGAAUGUUAAAGAUCGGGGCUCAACCCCGCAAAGCAUUGGAAACUGAUAAACUUGAGUAGUGGAGAGGAAAGUGGAAUUCCUAGUGUAGUGGUGAAAUACGUAGAUAUUAGGAGGAAUACCAGUAGCGAAGGCGACUUUCUGGACACAAACUGACGCUGAGGUACGAAAGCGUGGGGAGCAAACAGG
rnacentral:rRNA from 1 species